GACGAACGCUGGCGGCGUGCUUAACACAUGCAAGUCGAACGGUAUCUGCUGAGUAGUAAUACGAGGCAGGUAUAGUGGCGGACGGGUGAGUAACGCGUGAGCAAUCUGCCCAUAAGAGGGGGAUAACACCGGGAAACCGGUGCUAAUACCGCAUAAGACCACACUGCCACAUGGCAGAGGGGUAAAAGGAAGCAAUUCCGCUUACGGAUGGGCUCGCGUCCCAUUAGCUAGUUGGUGAGGUAACGGCUCACCAAGGCAUCGAUGGGUAGCCGACCUGAGAGGGUGAACGGCCACACUGGAACUGAGACACGGUCCAGACUCCUACGGGUGGCAG
rnacentral:rRNA from 1 species